UUUUCUCAUGGGGGAAACCCUGANGAGCCAUGCCGCGUGAGUGAUGAAGGCCUUCGGGUUGUAAAACUCUUUUGGCGGGGACGAUAAUGACGGUACCCGCAGAAUAAGCUCCGGCUAACUUCGUGCCAGCAGCCGCGGUAAUACGAAGGGGGCUAGCGUUGUUCGGAAUUACNUGGGCGUAAAGCGUGCGCAGGCGGCUUCUCAAGUCAGGGGUGAAAGCCCAGAGCUCAACUCUGGAAUUGCCUUUGAGACUGAGUGGCUUGAGUACGAGAGAGGUGAGUGGAAUUCCCAGUGUAGAGGUGAAAUUCGUAGAUAUUGGGAAGAACACCGGUGGCGAAGGCGGCUCACUGGCUCGUAACUGACGCUCAUGCACGACAGCGUGGGGAUCAAACAGGAUUAGAUACCCUGGUAGUCCACGCCGUAAACUAUGGACGCUAGCCGUUGGGCAGCUUGCUGUUCAGUGGCGCAGCUAACGCAUUAAGCGUCCCGCCUGGGGAGUACGGCCGCAAGGUUGAAACUCAAAAAAAUUGACGGA
rnacentral:rRNA from 1 species